UCCUGGAAGAGACCAAAAUUAAUAACAGAGCAAAAGUAAUUAAAAUUGAACUUAAUCUCAACCUCUUUAUUAAAAUAAAUGUGUUACAUUUUAUUUUAUCCAGAGGUGGGCUUCAGCCAGUUCAGACUAGUUCAGGCAAACCAGUUGUUAAAUUUUUGCACAGUUCAGAGAACUGGUAAAUUGUACCACUGACUGGCCCUGCCCUACCCUUCCUGCCCCUCCCACUCACUCCUUAUCACACCUUGCCCACAUUGGGCGAUGCCUAGAGUCAUGCCGGUGGCAUAGCUGCUGCUUCUCUCUGGGUCUCUCACUUGACUCAACUACACGGACCAGUGAUCUCUGCCUGCAUCUGCCCUUCAUCUAGAGUUCAGUGGAGAGAACGAAGACACGAGUGAACGGCUGGAAAAGAAUGAAAAGGAUGCUUAGAAAAACAAUGUGAUUCUUCACAUCAUUUAUUUUAGGUACACUACAGGGAGAUUGAAAUACGGCUGAACCAAGACUCAUACUGAUGCAGUGAAUUCAGCAGUCCCAUAAUACUGUAUCUUUCUCUGAAUCUUUUUGAAAGGAGUAUUUUAAAUAUAUUACAUGAAAGCAAUUAUUAAAGUAGAAAACAUAUAUCUGUCUUGUGCAGCUGGCAAGUUUCCUGGCUUCAGUAAUUCUGUUUUUGUAUAUGAUUUCUUGUUACUUCUACUUAAAGAGAUAAGAUAGAGCUGGAGAGUGUUUAUACUGCAGUACAGGCUGUGAUAAGGCUGUUGAUCCUGGUAUCGCUAUCCAUAUAAAGUGGUGCAUCUCUGAAAGAUUAUGUGCCAGAUCAAAUAAGCAGCUAACCAUUCCUAAUGUAAAUAUGUAAUACAGCACAUUAUCUCCAGCUAGUUGGUCUUUGAGCCAAAACCACAAAAAUCUGCAAGUUUUUGCGUGUUGUUGCAAUGCUCAGUAUCGACAGACUCAAAAUUCAGACGGUAUGAAGCACAGAAUCUUUGUGUCCUAUCAGUGGGCUUAAAGAAAGAAUCAGCACUAUUUGUCCAAGAUAAAGUCAGACUAAAUAUAUUAUAUUCCAUUCAGUAAUAUUAGCUUAUCUUGGUUUGGUAUGAUUUCAUUCCUGAACCUUAAUGCUCAAUUUUGUUCCCUGUCUGGUCUCAGCAGUAAGGGAAGGAUGAUAUCAGUUGACAGGCAAAUUCAGAAUGAUUACUUUAACUGUUAAAAACAUCUUUUACAAAAUAUCAGUCUUCUUUAUAUAUAUCUUGACAAUUCUUGAGAAAAUGAAAAUAUGUGCCCUUAUAUGACUUUUGUGAACCAAAAUAUACCACAUUAUCAGAAUGUGUAAAAUAUUUUAUCUGCGUAUAGAUUUAUUACAACACAGGAUAUUGCACUUUCAUUUAUAUUGUGUGUCUUUCUAAUUGCUCUAAUUUACCUGUUUUUUCAUCAUAAAGAAGGCUAUCUCAAGAAAGGGUAGGACUUCUCAAGUCUAAUUUGUGCAUUUCAGAUUUGUUUUGCAGUUACAGUAUCUUUCUGCCUGUCUCUGCCUUUCUUCUAAGGAGUUCAGACCAGCUUACAAGGGAUACUGUAUUCCUCUUUUAUCAUUUUAAUAAUAUCUCUGUUGGGUUGAGUUACAGCAACUUCCUGAAAUUACCCCAUGAUAAAGUGAUCUCUUUAACCUGAUUCUUCGUGAGAUCUCAGUUCAACUCUGAACCACUACAAGAUAGUGUUAUUCAUCUGAUGUGAUGUAUUACAACUCACUCAUGUGCACUUUAGGUGAUGAUACAUCCUAAUUUAAGAGGCUUGUAGAAUGCUGAAGGGAAGAACACUGAAUAUAAUUUUUGUGUAUCUCCAAUGACAGCAAUAAAAUUAAACUGUGCUAAUUUACUUUGUAGUCCCUGCCAUCCCUUCAUCCAUUAAGUUCAAUUCAUGAAGUGAUUUUUAAAAAAAUAAGCAAUUGCAGGAAAUAUUCUGUAGGUCUGUUUUAUGUAAAGUAAAAGAUAAAGAUUAAGGAAGAAAAGCUGGAAUGAGCUUACAGGGCAGGCUUUAGAAAACAGAAGAUAUUGUUCAUUGCCAUUUUAGCCAUACUUUCUCUAUCACUAAGGUCAUUUAAAGGGCUAUAUGACUAGGAUCAGCAGAUGAUCUGAUAAGCAUGUCUCUUAAGAAAACACUUCCAAAGUCUAGCUACUCUGAAGCAAACUGACAAAAUGUUAUCUACCUUUGAGGGAGUAUUAUCUCUCUUUGCAGAUUCUUUUUCUUUAUAGCCAGUUCAUCAAGCUACGGCCAGUCAUUGUUAACAUUACUGGGGAGGAAAUGCCCUAAUUCAGGAGUCUCCAAUCCCCAGGCUGCAUGCUACUGCUGGGCCAUGGCCUAUUUGCAAUCGGGCUGCACAAGCAGUGGACCUGCACACAUGCAGCUCAACUCCCAAAAGCAAUGGGCCAGCACAGAUGCAUGCACAUAUGUAGCUCGAUUCAUGCGACUGACAAGCUGCCACGCAUGCUCAUGCAUGCACAGCUCAACUACACACAGCUACAAGUACAUACAUGUGAACACUGCCAUGCUCCUUGUGUGAGUGGUGUGCAUAUCAGUCCACCACUCACGCAGCCCAGUUCCCCUUUCCCUCCUCCUAGCCAGGCCACAAAGGUUGGGGACUGGUGCCCUGAUGGGUCUGCCACCACAAAAAAGGCUCUAUUUUAAGUACAUACAUAUCUCAUCCAAUGGCAAAGAAAGUAGGAAAGAAAACAAAAGGAGAAGUUGCAUAUAAGAAGUCCCGGCAAAGGAUAUCAUAUCAGCCUCUACAAGUUCAACCCUUUAACAUGUUUAAUCCUUUAAAUAUUAAUAUGUUAAAUGUUUAUAUAGUUUCUCAUGGCAAAAAAAAUAGAAGAGAUCCGGUAGCGUGUUUUCCCUGUUAAGAUAACAAAGCAAUUUAAUAAAAUCAGUUAGCCAGAAAACAUGCUCCCUUUAGACUCCUAAAAUAAUUCUACGAUUUCUUUUACUGGUUUGUUUUUAAUGAAAAAGUAUUUGUUCAGCAGAUCAUUAUGAAUACUAAAAUAAUUUCAGCUAAUGAGUCAGUUGCUCAAUUAAAUACAUGGAAAUAUUUUUGAAAGAUAUUAAGAGAUAACAGUCAUCUAAUUUGAAGUUUCAAAUUCAAAAUGAGCAAAACACUUUGCGAUAUCACAUGCUGAUGGCAAGUAAACAACAAUAAAAGAUAUCACCUACCAAUCUUGCUUGUAAUAUUUUCUGGAAACAUUUAUUUGAUCAUAGGUAGAAUCAUCAGCCUGUUAUAUUUCCUAGUUAACAUAGCUUUUUUGGUCAUUUUGACUGGGAAUGAUGGCAGUUGAAGUCCAUCAUUUGUAGAGGCCACGAAGUUGGAGAAGGCUAUAAUAGACUUUUGUUCUUCAGUGAAAUAUAUGCCAUGAUGUUUAAUUAAUAGCAAAAGAAAAAACUAGAAAAUGACAACUGUGAGCAUUAUAACAUGUCCAAGGCAUAAUAAAUCAAUAUUUUUGCAACUCACAAAUUUAGAAUUAAAGCUGUAACAUAUUAAAGCCACAAUGUAUUGGCAGCUUUAAGGACUUCUUACUUUCAGUCUUGUUUUUAUUCAAAAGAUUGAUAUAUUAUGUUAAGUUUGGUAUAAUUGUGCUUCCAUGUUUAUCUGCAGAAUUUAUGUGAAUUAAACAAAGAUUAUAAAUGUAUACAAUUAAAUUUAUAAUAAUUUGAAUAGAUGGCUAUGUACACAUAAUGCUUUAAUUGUAUUCAAGAAAU